rnacentral:sRNA from 1 species
ACUUCUCGGGAGACAUUUCCUUUUGUAAUUUGCCCUCGAUCUUGUCUUAUCUUUGAAAGGUUGCUGGAAUUUCUCUGUUCCUUGGAGUUUGGGGGUUUUUUGAUUUGUUUUUUCUUUGGUGCUUGUAAAGAAACAAAGAAAAGAGUGGUAGCCAGCCCGCCUGCCUGGAUCACAUGCAGGACAGAAGAGCCUUGUCCCUCAAAGCCCACCAGUCAGAGAGCUACCUGCCGAUUGGCUGCAAGCUGCCACCUCAGUCCUCGGGUGUGGACACAAGCCCCUGCCCAAACUCACCUGUGUUCAGGACGGGAAGCGAGCCUGCCCUGAGCCCAGCAGUGGUUCGGAGGGUCUCCUCAGACGCCAGGGCUGGGGAGGCGCUGAGGGGAUCAGACAGUCAGCUGUGCCCUAAGCCCCCGCCUAAGCCCUGCAAGGUGCCGUUCCUCAAGGUUCCCUCGUCUCCCUCUGCCUGGCUCAACUCAGAGGCCAACUACUGUGAACUGAACCCAGCGUUUGCCACAGGCUGCGGCAGGGGAGCAAAGCUACCCUCAUGUGCCCAGGGAAGCCACACGGAACUGCUCACAGCCAAGCAGAAUGGGGCGCCAGGUCCCCGGAACUCUGGCGUCAACUACUUGAUCCUUGAUGAUGAUGACAGGGAAAGACCUUGGGAACCUGCGGCAGCUCAGAUGGAGAAGGGGCAGUGGGACAAGGGCGAGUUUGUGACGCCCCUCCUGGAGACUGUCUCCUCCUUCAGGCCCAACGAGUUUGAGUCAAAGUUCCUUCCCCCUGAGAAUAAGCCCCUGGAAACAGCAAUGUUGAAACGUGCAAAAGAACUGUUCACCAACAACGACCCCAAGGUCAUCGCCCAGCACGUACUGAGCAUGGACUGCAGG